UACGAAGGGGGCUAGCGUUGCUCGGAAUGACUGGGCGUAAAGGGCGCGUAGGCGGAUGGCACAGUCAGAUGUGAAAUUCCCGGGCUUAACCUGGGGGCUGCAUUUGAUACGUGUGAUCUAGAGUGAGGAAGAGGGUCGUGGAAUUCCCAGUGUAGAGGUGAAAUUCGUAGAUAUUGGGAAGAACACCGGUGGCGAAGGCGGCGACCUGGUCCUUGACUGACGCUGAGGCGCGGAAAGCCAGGGGAGCAAACGGG
rnacentral:rRNA from 1 species